rnacentral:rRNA from 1 species
GAUGAACGCUGGCGGCGUGCCUAAUACAUGCAGGUCGAGCGAACAGACGAGGAGCUUGCUCCUCUGACGUUAGCGGCGGACGGGUGAGUAACACGUGGAUAACCUACCUAUAAGACUGGGAUAACUUCGGGAAACCGGAGCUAAUACCGGAUAAUAUAUUGAACCGCAUGGUUCAAUAGUGAAAGACGGUUUUGCUGCCACUUAUAGAUGGAUCCGCGCCGCAUUAGCUAGUUGGUAAGGUAACGGCUUACCAAGGCAACGAUGCGUAGCCGACCUGAGAGGGUGAUCGGCCACACUGGAACUGAGACACGGUCCAGACUCCUACGGGAGGCAGCAGUAGGGAAUCUUCCGCAAUGGGCGAAAGCCUGACGGAGCAACGCCGCGUGAGUGAUGAAGGUCUUCGGAUCGUAAAACUCUGUUAUUAGGGAAGAACAAAUGUGUAAGUAACUAUGCACGUCUUGACGGUACCUAAUCAGAAAGCCACGGCUAACUACGUG